AGAGCGAACGCUGGCGGCAGGCUUAACACAUGCAAGUCGAGCGGGCGUAGCAAUACGUCAGCGGCAGACGGGUGAGUAACGCGUGGGAACAUACCUUUUGGUUCGGAACAACACAGGGAAACUUGUGCUAAUACCGGAUAAGCCCUUACGGGGAAAGAUUUAUCGCCGAAAGAUUGGCCCGCGUCUGAUUAGCUAGUUGGUGAGGUAACGGCUCACCAAGGCGACGAUCAGUAGCUGGUCUGAGAGGAUGAUCAGCCACAUUGGGACUGAGACACGGCCCAAAACUCCUACGGGAGGCAGCAGUGGGGAAUAUUGGACAAUGGGCGCAAGCCUGAUCCAGCCAUGCCGCGUGAGUGAUGAAGGCCCUAGGGUUGUAAAGCUCUUUUGUGCGGGAAGAUAAUGACGGUACCGCAAGAAUAAGCCCGGCUAACUUCGUGCCAGCAGCCGC
rnacentral:rRNA from 1 species